UCUUGUUAUGCUACCUGAGAUUUCAUAAAGAAAUUUAAAGCGCAAUUUGCACGAAUAAACAAUGAACUGCAUUCCACGGAGGAAAUUGUGAUGGCCAAGGACGUCGAGACCGCGCCAACUAAAGCAGCCCUUACUUGAUUUGAGAAACUUUGGUAUUUGGCAAAAUAUCUACGUCUAAUUCGUCUGGAUGCACUCAAUCAUAGCACAUCCAGAGUCGCCUGUUUUGCCUGCUUGAAAGGCAAAAUACGUUCAUAUUUCCAAACGAAAAAGCGGAUCACGCUGUAAAUGAAAAUUAUCAUCCCAACCGAUAUCCCAGCUAGAAAGAGAACAAUGUCGACGAGAUAUCUUUGAUAGAAUGAAACGUCUUUCGAUGCCACUUGCAAAUGUUUGGUACCGCCGUGACGUAAAACGUGUUCGAUCCAGUAGAUGGCCAAGUCAGUGCCCGACACCAACUGAUCGUGCAUCAACAUGGAUAACCUUGAAGCGUUUCUCCUGAAGCUGCAAAUAUUUUUUUUUGCUGGGAAGUUUGAAGAGUAGGUCUUCAUCUAUACGAUCCCAAUCAAUUUUCAAUCCGAAUCCCUGUUUAAUGGCCAUGGCCAUAUUAGAAUUUUGGUCGUUACAAAAAGGAAAACCGAUUAAGGGCACUGCGUGAUAAAUCGCUUCCUGAAUGCCUAACAUCCCACCGUGAGUCAUGAACAGCUUGGCGUUUGGAUGCCCUAUAAAGCAUUACUGCUAACUUGUGACUUUUCGAGCCCAGUGGAAGCAGUACGAGAAUGCGCUCUCCGAAACACAUGAACGGGAAGCACACCACAACCAUAAAUCGUAGCCAAUUUUGAAAUUUCAUGUUUUCACUAAGUGAUCUCUGUGGUUGAAAUUGAUAAUAUCGACUAACAUUUAGUCUGGGUCCGUACGGUAUAGCGGCAUAUUCAACGCGUGGAACUCAGUUAUCACAUUCCACCACAAACUGGACUCUUGCUCUAGUGGUUCAGUUGUCAUUUUCUGUUAACAUUUUAAUUCUUUAUUUUCUUAGAUAAGCAAUUCGUUGUGUACAGUCCUAGAGUUCAUCGUGUUAGCGCUGAUAGCAUCGUCGCAUGAUGCAAGCAUCACCUGUGUUGGUAUAGAACGUGGAUAAUUUCAUUCUUUAAUAAGUACCACACGUAUAUCUUCAUAUUAUAUUAGUGACCUUUAUCCAGGCAAGGUUAAGGUUAAAUUGACCUCGCGCUUGCGAUAUAAAACAGCCUGUGUUCCAGCAAGAUUCAUUGCAGUCCCACUCGACUAUUCUCUGGCUAAGCAUCGAAAUCUUCUACAGCAUUUCGAAAAA